rnacentral:rRNA from 1 species
AGAGUUUGAUCCUGGCUCAGGACGAACGCUGGCGGCGUGCCUAACACAUGCAAGUCGAGCGGAGACAGUGAGUAGCUUGCUAUGAGCUGUUUUAGCGGCGGACGGGUGAGUAACGCGUGAGCAACCUUUCCCAGACAGGGGGAAUAACACACCGAAAGGUGUACUAAUACCGCAUAAGACCACGGGAUCACAUGGUUCUGGGGUAAAGAUUAUCGGUUGGGGUGGGGCUCGCGUCCGAUAGGUAGUUGGUGAGGUAACGG